UGGGGAAUAUUGCACAAUGGGCGCAAGCCUGAUGCAGCCAUGCCGCGUGUAUGAAGAAGGCCUUCGGGUUGUAAAGUACUUUCAGUCGGGAGGAAGGUGUCAAGGUUAAUAACCUUGGCAAUUGACGUUACCGACAGAAGAAGCACCGGCUAACUCCGUGCCAGCAGCCGCGGUAAUACGGAGGGUGCACGCGUUAAUCGGAAUUACUGGGCGUAAAGCGCACGCAGGCGGUUGAUUGAGUCAGAUGUGAAAUCCCCGGGCUUAACCCGGGAAUUGCAUCUGAUACUGGUCAGCUAGAGUCUUGUAGAGGGGGGUAGAAUUCCAUGUGUAGCGGUGAAAUGCGUAGAGAUGUGGAGGAAUACCGGUGGCGAAGGCGGCCCCCUGGACAAAGACUGACGCUCAGGUGCGAAAGCGUGGGGAGCAAACA
rnacentral:rRNA from 1 species